rnacentral:rRNA from 1 species
CAAUACGAGCGGCAGACGGGUGAGUAACGCGUGGGAAUCUACCCAUCUCUACGGAACAACUCCGGGAAACUGGAGCUAGUACCGUAUACGUCCUUUUGGAGAAAGAUUUAUCGGAGAUGGAUGAGCCCGCGUUGGAUUAGCUAGUUGGUGGGGUAAUGGCCUACCAAGGCGACGAUCCAUAGCUGGUCUGAGAGGAUGAUCAGCCACACUGGGACUGAUACACGGCCCAGACUCCUACGGGAGGCAGCAGGG